rnacentral:tRNA from 2 species
GCACCCAUAGCUCAGCAGGAUAGAGCACCAGAUUCCUAAUCUGGGGGCCACUGGUUCGAAUCCAGUUGGGUGCACCA